GACAGAGGGUGCAAACGUUGUUCGGAAUUACUGGGCGUAAAGGGCGCGUAGGCGGGUCGUUUAGUUAGAGGUGAAAGCCCAGGGCUCAACCCCUGGAAUUGCCUUUAAUACUGGCGGCCUUGAGUAUGGCAGAGGUGUGUGGAACUCCGAGUGUAGAGGUGAAAUUCGUAGAUAUUCGGAAGAACACCAGUGGCGAAGGCGACACACUGGGCCAUUACUGACGCUGAGGCGCGAAAGCGUGGGGAGCAAACAGG
rnacentral:rRNA from 1 species